rnacentral:lncRNA from 1 species
UUAAAAGAUAGAACGGUCUAGUCAAGCUCCAUGUCUCUUAUUCUUGAUCAGCUAUAGCUCGAGAGUUUUUGUAGAUUUUCAAAUAAAACUCAGAGAUUCCUUGUAUGACUCUCUCAUAUCUCUCUUUUGUGGUAUUUCUGGAUCCUUACCAAGGCAGUGAUGGUAUAUGCCUUCUCUCAAAAUAUGUAGUAUUUGUGGUAUAAGGCAUAGUGACAUUGCCUUCUGUCUCAUCCUACUCUAAUAAGGCUUUGAUAUCUAGAGCUCAUAGGUGGGAGAUAAAGUAUACAUACUUACAAGACAUUUAUUGCAUAGUCAAACCAUGGAUCUAGAGAAACAAGUCAAUAAGUCAAAUCAAGAUGUGCAUGUGUGGCGAAUGAAUGGUGUAUGGUGAUGAUGGUGAUAACAAUGGUGAAAGUCCAAUUCUACUUGUGCUCUUUUUAGGGGAUACAUACCUUUCUUGCUCUUUUGAAACUUUUUGAGGAGAAUGAGAUGCUCUAUAUUUUCUUUUUCUUUCCUCUCAGGUGGGUAUUUUGUACCCCUAAUUCUACUGUCGAACACUUGUCCAUUUUUACCACUCGUCUCACUUUUUUCUUUUCUUUCCAGGUUCUGGGCACUUGCCCCUUUUUAUUUCCUCGUAUCCUUUCUUUUUUUUAGAGCACUCAUCUCCUGAAAUAAUAUAGCAAGUGGUAGUAACCAAGAUAACUUGAGCAUUUAUUUCACAGAGAAAAAUAGAAAUAGGAGAAUGUUUUUGGCUAUUCUCUCCCAGAUUAGGAGUAGAAUACUUUUGGGUGGUUCUGGAGAUGGAAAUGAGUGGAUAUAUGUGGAUGCGUACUUCCGGAGUAGAAGCAGCAUGUGUGAGUGAACAUGCAAGUGAAUCUUGAUUUUAAUCGCAUGACAAGCUCCUAAGGGUCUACACCGCUUGACCACACUCAAUGCUCAUAGGCAGUAAAAAGUAAAUGUGUGGCUCAAAGUCUAGCAAGCAUGUAUAUAUGGCUGUGGUUGGAAUUUAAACUCUUAUCAUACAGGAACUCAUUGUUGAUGGUCCUUAAGUAUCAAAUUUAAUUAUCAAAUAAAUAAAGAAAGGGAUCCAAAUACAACCAACAUCCAAACUUAGGGUUUUAUCUGACAGAAUUCCACGAGUUUUGGUGUUUGUCUAUUUCUGCAGGGGGUUAUCAGGAAAUACGGAAGAAAGGCCCACACGUCGGGAUUACAUAGAGAUAUUAACGUGUCGUGCAAUUAUCUUACAUCUAGAAGACUCCAGAAGCCAC